CAACUAGAGUAUCAACAUACCACAUCAAUACACUAAUGGGUCAUCUUCAGCCUCACAACCCCAUGAGGGCUUUGUGCAUGCUAAGCAGGUGCUCUACCACCGAGCUACAUCUGCAGCCCUCAAUUUCAU
rnacentral:lncRNA from 1 species